GGAGGGAUGGCCGAGCGGCUGAAGGCACCGGUCUUGAAAACCGGCAGGCGGGUGACCGUCUCGUGGGUUCGAAUCCCACUCCCUCCGCCA
rnacentral:tRNA from 1 species